rnacentral:rRNA from 1 species
CAGUCGCCGCGGGAAUACGAAGGGGGCUAGCGUUGCUCGGAAUGACUGGGCGUAAAGGGCGCGUAGGCGGAUUGUUUAGUUAGGCGUGAAAUUCCUGGGCUUAACCUGGGGACUGCGCUUAAUACAGGCAGUCUAGAGUGAGGAAGAGGGUUGUGGAAUUCCCAGUGUAGAGGUGGAAUUCGUAGAUAUUGGGAAGAACACCGGUGGCGAAGGCGGCAACCUGGUCCUUGACUGACGCUGAGGCGCGAAAGCGUGGGGAGCAAACAGGAUUAGAUACCCGCGUAGUCCCUGUCUCUUAUAC